UACGUAGGGGGCAAGCGUUGUCCGGAAUCAUUGGGCGUAAAGAGCGCGUAGGCGGCCCUGUAAGUCCGCUGUGAAAGUCAAGGGCUCAACCCUUGGAUGCCGGUGGAUACUGCAGGGCUAGAGUUCGGUAGGGGAGAUCGGAAUUCCUGGUGUAGCGGUGAAAUGCGCAGAUAUCAGGAGGAACACCGGUGGCGAAGGCGGAUCUCUGGGCCGAUACUGACGCUGAGGAGCGAAAGCGUGGGGAGCGAACAGG
rnacentral:rRNA from 1 species